rnacentral:rRNA from 1 species
AUUGAACGCUGGCGGCAGGCCUAACACAUGCAAGUCGAGCGGAUGAAGGGAGCUUGCUCCUGGAUUCAGCGGCGGACGGGUGAGUAAUGCCUAGGAAUCUGCCUGGUAGUGGGGGAUAACGUCCGGAAACGGGCGCUAAUACCGCAUACGUCCUGAUGGAGAAAGUGGGGGAUCUUCGGACCUCACGCUAUCAGAUGAGCCUAGGUCGGAUUAGCUAGUUGGUGGGGUAAAGGCCUACCAAGGCGACGAUCCGUAACUGGUCUGAGAGGAUGAUCAGUCACACUGGAACUGAGACACGGUCCAGACUCCUACGGGAGGCAGCAGUGGGGAAUAUUGGACAAUGGGCGAAAGCCUGAUCCAGCUAUGCCGCGUGUGUGAAGGAGGUCUUCGGAUUGUAAAGCACUUUAAGUUGGGAGGAAGGGCAGUAAGUUAAUACCUUGCUGUUUUGACGUUACCAACAGAAUAAGCACCGGCUAACUUCGUG